rnacentral:rRNA from 1 species
AUUGAACGCUGGCGGCGUGCUUAACACAUGCAAGUCGUGCGGUAACAGGCGUAGCAAUACGUGCUGACGAGCGGCGAACGGGUGCGUAAUACAUGGGAAUCUGCCCUUUAGUGGGGAAUAACCCGGCGAAAGCCGGGCUAAUGCCGCAUAAGAUCUUCGGAUGAAAGCGGGGGAUCGUAAGACCUCGCGCUGAUGGAUGAGCCCAUGUCGGAUUAGCUAGUUGGUGAGGUAACGGCUCACCAAGGCGACGAUCCGUAGCUGGUCUGAGAGGACGGCCAGCCACACUGGGACUGAGACACGGCCCAGACUCCUACGGGAGGCAGCAGUGGGAAUAUUGGACAAUGGGCGAAAGCCUGAUCCAGCGACGCCGCGUGUGUGAAGAAGGCCUGCGGGUUGUAAAGCACUUUCGA